rnacentral:misc_RNA from 1 species
CUUUUCUCCAUCUUCACCACAAGCUGGAAAAGAUGGAAAACAUGAAAAUGGGGAGAUCACAGAUAAGGAAGAUCAUCUUUAUUUCUGGUUCCCUUUGUUGGCUGGCUUAUCAGAACUUAGCUUUGAUCCUAGACCUGAAAUCAGGAAGAGUGCCUUACAAGUGCUUUUUGAUACUUUACGCAAUCAUGGCCAUCUUUUUUCCCUACCUCUAUGGGAACGAGUAUUUGAUUCAGUAUUGUUUCCAAUAUUUGACUAUGUAAGGCAUGCUAUUGAUCCUACUGGGGGUGACUCUCCAGGGCAGGAGAUUGAUGAUAAUGCAGAUGAACUUGAUCAGGAUGCAUGGCUUUAUGAGACAUGCACGUUGGCCCUCCAACUGGUUGUAGAUCUUUUUGUCAGAUUCUACAAUACUGUCAAUCCACUUCUGAGGAAGGUGCUGAUGCUUCUGGUUAGCUUUAUUAGGCGUCCACACCAAAGCCUUGCUGGUAUUGGUAUUGCAGCUUUUGUCCGUUUGAUGAGCAAUGCUGGUGAUCUAUUUUCACAGGGGAAGUGGCUGGAAGUGGUUAUGUCACUAAAAGAGGCAGCCAAUGCAACGCUUCCUGAUUUCUCUUACCUUGUUAGUGGAGAUUCCAUGGUAAGAAGGCACAAAACAUUAAAUGGACAAAAUAGUGGAGAGUCUGCUGGAUCUGGCAUGCUUGAUGAUGAUCCAGAGAGACUGAUGACACGUCGUCUUUAUGCUUCUAUAUCUGAUGCAAAAUGUAGAGCUGCUGUACAACUUUUAUUGAUUCAGGCCGUUAUGGAAAUAUACAACAUGUAUCGGUCUCACCUUUCAGCGAAAAAUACUUUGGUCCUCUUUGAUGCUUUGCAUGACGUGGCUCUCCAUGCUCACAAGAUCAAUACUAAUACUAUGUUACGUUCAAGACUACAAGAGUUUGGUUCCAUAACCCAAAUGCAAGACCCUCCACUUCUACGCCUGGAAAAUGAGUCUUAUCAAAUUUGCCUCACUUUCUUGCAAAAUCUCACUGUGGAUAGGCCACCAAGUUUCGAUGAGACUGAAGUGGAAUCUUAUCUUGUCAAGCUUUGCCAGGAGGUAUUACUGUUUUAUAUUGAAACUUCCCGCUCUGGAC